rnacentral:ribozyme from 14 species
AGAAAGAUACAGAGUCGAAGAAGCAGAAGCAGAAUUGAAAAAAGUAGGACAAGAGCAAGAAGAUCCCCAAAAUUAAAUUGAUUGGUUGAUCGUGAUUGUUCUUUUUUAUUUUACUUUUAAUUUCUAAGUCUAUGCCUUUGCCAUUUUAGUGUUUAUAAUAUAUAGAGAGAGAG